UAAGGAAUAUUGGACAAUGGGCGCAAGCCUGAUCCAGCCAUGCCGCGUGAAGGAUUAAGGUCCUCUGGAUUGUAAACUUCUUUUAUAAGGGACGAAAAAAGGGAAUUCUUUCUCACUUGACGGUACCUUAUGAAUAAGCACCGGCUAACUCCGUGCCAGCAGCCGCGGUAAUACGGAGGGUGCAAGCGUUAUCCGGAUUCACUGGGUUUAAAGGUUGCGUAGGCGGGUAUUUAAGUCAGUGGUGAAAUCCUAGAGCUUAACUCUAGAACUGCCAUUGAUACUAUUUAUCUUGAAUAUUGUGGAGGUAAGCGGAAUAUGUCAUGUAGCGGUGAAAUGCUUAGAUAUGACAUAGAACACCUAUUGCGAAGGCAGCUUACUACGCAUAUAUUGACGCGGAGGCAAGAAAGCGUGGGGAUCAAACAGG
rnacentral:rRNA from 1 species